rnacentral:misc_RNA from 1 species
GUGAAUCAUCGAAUUUUUGAACGCAAACUGCACUCUCCGGUUUUCCGGGAGAGUAUGCCUGUUUGAGGGUCCGUUUAAAAAAUAAUCGAGGCUGCUGCUGUGGUGGCUCUUCGGAAUUGGGUCAUCUUUCACCUUUCGGUUGUAAGCGACCUAAAAUUUUUUUUUAGAAUUCUUCGAAAGGUUUUAAAAAAUUCUUUUACGUUUACG